AGCUGAUUUACAUCUACGGUUUACUAAUACAGUACACACACACAUAAGAUCCUACCAAGCAUACAUUUGAAUUGAAUAUAUUAACUUUUUGGGCUUAGGCAGCAACAGGGCGACCGAAUCCACCACGGAAGGAAGGAGCAAAUCCACCGGGAGCAGCACCAUCAUCCUUCUUCUCGGCACGGCGGUAGCCAGCAUCAGCAGCAGAGCUACGCUCACGAGGCUCAGGACGGCCAGCACGGGGGGCAGCAGGACGAACUUGACGCUUGUGAGUAGCGGGCACAACCUCAGCGGGAAGGUGCAAAUACUCACGCAAGUAUUCAACACCCUCGUUGGUCAAGGUGUAGUAAAACCAUCCCCAAUUGUAGCGGGUCUUAAGAUAGCCGCGAGAAUCCAAGGAUUGACAAGCCUUAAUGACUUGCAAGUUGGGGACACCAACUUCGGGGUGCUUGGGGAGGUUGAAA